rnacentral:misc_RNA from 1 species
GGGCUGGGCCAGGGGCUGGGGUUGGAGGACCUGGCCGGCGUGUUCUUCACUGACGGGACGGAGACGGCUCCGUUACGCGGAGUUGAUGGUCGUAAGGGCGUUUGGUUGGGAUUGCCGGUGGCCACUAUGGUGGUUGUUGCGUCAUUCUCGUUCGUUGGAUUAGUCUUACCGUAACACUGCCCCAUCUUGCAAUACUGCUCCCCUGCUGUAUCUGAUCAGCACUCAAAGUCUAGACAUCGGACGGUGCAAAAGAUUUUCUCAUGGAUCUGACAACCAUCGGAGAGAAAACAAACGAGAGAGAGAGAACAGAG